rnacentral:rRNA from 1 species
AGAGUUUGAUCCUGGCUCAGAUUGAACGCUGGCGGCAUGCCUAACACAUGCAAGUCGAACGGCAGCAGCAGAGAGCUUGCUCUCUGGCUGGCGAGUGGCGGACGGGUGAGUAAUGCAUAGGAAUCUGCCCAGUAGUGGGGGACAACCUGGGGAAACUCAGGCUAAUACCGCAUACGACCUGCGGGUGAAAGUGGAGGAUCUUCGGACUUCACGCUAUUGGAUGAGCCUAUGUCAGAUUAGCUUGUUGGUGAGGUAAAGGCUCACCAAGGCAACGAUCUGUAGCUGGUCUGAGAGGACGAUCAGCCACACUGGGACUGAGACACGGCCCAGACUCCUACGGGAGGCAGCAGUGGGGAAUAUUGGACAAUGGGGGCAACCCUGAUCCAGCAAUGCCGCGUGUGUGAAGAAGGCCUGCGGGUUGUAAAGCACUUUCAACAGUGAAGAAAAGCUGACGGUUAAUACCCGUCAGUCUUGACAUUAACUGUAGAAGAAGCACCGGCUAACUCCGUG